CACGGAGCUUGCUCUGGUGGCGAGUGGCGAACGGGUGAGUAAUAUAUCGGAACGUACCCAAGAGUGGGGGAUAACGUAGCGAAAGUUACGCUAAUACCGCAUACGAUCUAAGGAUGAAAGCAGGGGAUCGCAAGACCUUGUGCUCCUGGAGCGGCCGAUAUCUGAUUAGCUAGUUGGUGAGGUAAAGGCUCACCAAGGCAUCGAUCAGUAGCUGGUCUGAGAGGACGACCAGCCACACUGGAACUGAGACACGGU
rnacentral:rRNA from 1 species